GUUGAAAUUUGUUGUUCGGACAUGGAAUCUCUAGCACCUGAAGCAUAUUUUUCAUCGACUAUAAUGAAUUUCUACAUCCGGUACCUCCAGAAGACAAAACAUCAUGCAGAUGUCGAUGAGUAUCACUUUUUCAAUACAUAUUUUUACCAGAAGCUCAAAGAGGCUGUAUUGAGCAAGUCUUCAUUGGAGCCUGGUUAUAAUUUGCAUACCAGAUAAAGAAGAUGAAGU
rnacentral:misc_RNA from 1 species